UUUCAGUCUGCCUUUGUUUUGUUUGUGUUUCGCACCAAAAAGAAAGUAAAAAAAUAAAGAGAAGAACAAAAAUAGAAUCGCUGUCAUUUUA
rnacentral:ribozyme from 12 species